GUGGGGAAUAUUGGACAAUGGGCGAAAGCCUGAUCCAGCCAUGCCGCGUGUGUGAAGAAGGUCUUCGGAUUGUAAAGCACUUUAAGUUGGGAGGAAGGGCAGUAAGUUAAUACCUUGCUGUUUUGACGUUACCGACAGAAUAAGCACCGGCUAACUUCGUGCCAGCAGCCGCGGUAAUACGAAGGGUGCAAGCGUUAAUCGGAAUUACUGGGCGUAAAGCGCGCGUAGGUGGUUUUGUAAGUUGGAGGUGAAAUACACGGGCUCAACCUGGGAACUGCCUCCAAAACUGCAUGACUAGAGUACGGUAGAGGGUAGUGGAAUUUCAUGUGUAGCGGUGAAAUGCGUAGAUAUAGGAAGGAACACCAGUGGCGAAGGCGACUACCUGGACUGAUACUGACACUGAGGUGCGAAAGCGUGGGGAGCAAACAGGAUUAGAAACCCUGGUAGUCC
rnacentral:rRNA from 1 species